UACGUAGGGGGCAAGCGUUGUCCGGAUUUACUGGGUGUAAAGGGUGCUCAGGCGGAUUAGUAAGUCAGAGGUGAAACCCCGAAGCUUAACUUCGGAACUGCCUCUGAUACUGCUAGUCUAGAGUUUGGGAGAGGCGAGUGGAAUGUCUGGUGUAGCAGUGAAAUGCGUAGAUAUCAGACAGAACACCAAUGGCGAAGGCAGCUCGCUGGUCCAAUACUGACGCUAAAGCACGAAAGCGUGGGGAGCAAACAGG
rnacentral:rRNA from 1 species